rnacentral:siRNA from 1 species
CUGUUUCAACAUAUUUUGCUCAAA